ACGUAAGUGGGAUCAGGUAAGGGUGAAAGGGUGCGGUAAGAGCGCACCGCGCGGCUGGUAACAGUCCGUGGCACGGUAAACUCCACCCGGAGCAAGGCCAAAUAGGGGUUCAUAAGGUACGGCCCGUACUGAACCCGGGUAGGCUGCUUGAGCCAGUGAGCGAUUGCUGGCCUAGAUGAAUGACUGUCCACGACAGAACCCGGCUUAUCGGUCAGUUUCACCU
rnacentral:RNase_P_RNA from 1 species